rnacentral:rRNA from 1 species
CUCUCGGCAACGGAUAUCUCGGCUCUCGCAUCGAUGAAGAACGUAGCGAAAUGUGAUACCUGGUGUGAAUUGCAGAAUCCCGUGAACCAUCGAGUCUUUGAACGCAAGUUGCGCCCGAGGCCAUCCGGCUAAGGGCACGCCUGCCUGGGCGUCAC